GAGAGCAGCUAGGCGCUGACGCACGGGAGGCGCGUGAUUGACGCAGGCGAGGUUUCUAAAUUUAGCAGUUGGCCGGGGCCCUGCCGCCGCCGCGCGCCGGAGAUAGCGGAAGUGCUUCACACGUGUUACCUCAUUUGAUAUUGAUAUUGACCGUUGCCAUCCAGUUGGUCUCUCUGCCUCAAGAUUCACUGCUUUCUGAUCCAUCUUCCUCACAGCUACCAAAUUGAAAUUCCUAAAGCACAGAUUACACAGUAUAACCAACUAGAAACAAAUGGGGGUGAGGGGAAGACUUCCUCCAGGUUUCCCUAAAUUGGAUGGAAUCCAUACACUGAUCAAGCUUUCAUUUUAGACAAAGGCCUUGAAGCAGUGAAGAUGGAAAGCUGGAAUGUAGUCUGGAAUCGAACCUGAAAUAUCUCUGAGGUAUAUCUGUAUGGUAUAAAGUGAAGAGAAAUUAAGAAGCCUCUUGAUGAGGGUGAAAGAGGAGAGUCUAAAAGCUGGCUUGAAACUUAACAUAAAAAAAUAAACCAAGAUCUUGGCCACUGGUCCCAUCACUUACUGGCAAAUAGAGGGAGAAGAAAUGGAAAUGUUAUCAGUUUUUAUAUUCUUAGGCUCAAAGAUCACUGCAGAUGG